rnacentral:rRNA from 1 species
GGAAAGGCGCGCGAUACAGGGUGACAGCCCCGUACACAAAAAUGCACAUGCUGUGAGCUCGAUGAGUAGGGCGGGACACGUGGUAUCCUGUCUGAAUAUGGGGGGACCAUCCUCCAAGGCUAAAUACUCCUGACUGACCGAUAGUGAACCAGUACCGUGAGGGAAAGGCGAAAAGAACCCCGGCGAGGGGAGUGAAAAAGAACCUGAAACCGUGUACGUACAAGCAGUGGGAGCACGCUUAGGCGUGUGACUGCGUACCUUUUGUAUAAUGGGUCAGCGACUUAUAUUCUGUAGCAAGGUUAACCGAAUAGGGGAGCCGAAGGGAAACCGAGUCUUAACUGGGCGUUAAGUUGCAGGGUAUAGACCCGAAACCCGGUGAUCUAGCCAUGGGCAGGUUGAAGGUUGGGUAACACUAACUGGAGGACCGAACCGACUAAUGUUGAAAAAUUAGCGGAUGACUUGUGGCUGGGGGUGAAAGGCCAAUCAAACCGGGAGAUAGCUGGUUCUCCCCGAAAGCUAUUUAGGUAGCGCCUCGUGAAUUCAUCUCCGGGGGUAG